CUUGCUUGUGGAGUGAUUCGAAUCUCAAACAAUGUUCUUGCCUUAAGAUAUUCGAUCAACAAAGUAAUCUGAAUCCUACUCCCCUUAUAGUGGUUCCUUAUCUUAUCAAAAAAUUUCUACAUUCUUAAAAGGAAUGUUUUGUUCUACUCUCCAUUACCCCAAGAAGUAGAACAUCACGCUGAAACGAAGCAAGAUGGAUAUUCCAAACCCCAUCCAUGAAACAUGAAUGACAGAGAAAAUGGAGGUUUUUCCAAGAAAAGUAAGAGAUGAGAAGGGAAGAAUCUAUUCUAUGCCUCCUUUAAACAACUCCAUAGGAAUAACGAAUCUUCUUCCAUCUCAUCAAAAUUUGAAUCAUGUUUAGGCAAAGGCCAAGGAAUCUCUGAGAAGGAAAGGAUUGCUUCAUUCAAAUGAUGUUGUGCUCCUAUAUUUUGGCCAACCAAUUUUAAGGAAGAUGUUGUGGCAUUUAUGAACCCUCUUGUGCAAUUCUUCUCCCUCAUUGCCUCUCCUUUUUUCAUUAAUGCAUACCCAUUCCUUGCUUACAUUAACAACCCUCAACAUCAACUAUGCCCUCUUCAACAACAACAACAACAACAUUUCAGCAAUGCAACAAUUCCAUUCCACUCUCUAAUACUGUUUGUGGUGUUCGUUUUAGUUUUAUGUUUCAUGUGAGGGAAUCAUUUUGAAUUUUUUUUUUUUUUUUUUUAUCAAAUUUCAGAACAAAAAAGAAGUUUAUACAAACAAACAACCAACCCCUUAAAG